rnacentral:tRNA from 1 species
GAUAAAAUGGCUGAGGAUAGGCAAUAAAUUGUAAAUUUAUUUAUGAGAUUUACUCUUUUAUCA